rnacentral:rRNA from 1 species
GAUGAACGCUGGCGGCGUGCUUAACACAUGCGAGUCGAACGAUGAAGCCCAGCUUGCUGGGUGGAUUAGUGGCGAACGGGUGAGUAACACGUGAGUAACCUGCCCUUAACUCUGGGAUAAGCCUGGGAAACUGGGUCUAAUACCGGAUAGGAGCGUCCACCGCAUGGUGGGUGUUGGAAAGAUUUAUCGGUUUUGGAUGGACUCGCGGCCUAUCAGCUUGUUGGUGAGGUAAUGGCUCACCAAGGCGACGACGGGUAGCCGGCCUGAGAGGGUGACCGGCCACACUGGGACUGAGACACGGCCCAGACUCCUACGGGAGGCAGCAGUGGGGAAUAUUGCACAAUGGGCGCAAGCCUGAUGCAGCGACGCCGCGUGAGGGAUGACGGCCUUCGGGCUGUAAACCUCUUUCAGUAGGGAAGAAGCGAAAGUGACGGUACCUGCAGAAGAAGCACCGGCUAACUACGUG